rnacentral:rRNA from 1 species
AUACGGAGGGUGCAAGCGUUACUCGGAAUCACUGGGCGUAAAGCGCGCGCAGGCGGGCUGAUAAGUUGGAUGUGAAAGCCUACGGCUCAACCGUAGAACUGCAUCCAAAACUGUCAGUCUAGAGUGUGGGAGAGGAAGAUGGAAUUAGUUGUGUAGGGGUAAAAUACGUAGAGAUAACUAGGAAUACCAAAAGCGAAGGCAAUCUUCUGGAACACUACUGACGCUGAGGCGCGAAGGCGUGGGGAGCAAACAGGAUUAGAUACCCCAGUAGUCC